GCUAAUGCCAUUUCUGCCUUCCCCGUGCAGACGGUGGGGAUUUCUGUGCUUAGCAGAAUGCCAAAGAUAUCAAAGCCCAUACUCCACUGACACACUAAUGACAGCCAGCGACAUCUGUCAUUUAUAAUUUCAACCUAGCUUUUUCUGAAUGUGUAUAGAAUCGCUUUUCUCCAUUAUGCGCUGUUUCUGUUGUGCAUGCUAACUCUGGUGCCAUCUGUGUUAGUGGUUCCCAGUGUCUCAGAGAGCAGACUCUUUGCCAACAAGCAAUGCCUCUCACUCGAGGAAAAUGACAUAAUCAAAUCCUGUUUUUUUCAUAACCCACCUGUGAGUGGCAUGUUACUAUCCAUGUUCCGUGUUAUUGGGACAUACGGAACUGAAGCUCUGGUUCAAGAAUUGAGUUAAGGUGUUCUGGCUUAUAGUAACGAAAACAUUAUUUCAGGCAAUUAGCAAAACUUGUUAAUGUUCCAAAGAAAGGAAUAUAUUAGGCCUUCAGGAUGGAGCCAGAUAAUGUCUAGAAACUCAGAAAGAAAGAAAAAUCAAAACUUGCCCUAUAUUGAGUUUUAAUCUUUGCUCCUUAGAGCUUCAGAGAAGUAUAUAUGUAUGAUAAAUGUACAUUCACAUGUAUGUUCUGUUUACAUAUGUCCUGAUGCCUUUACACACCAUUGGUCAUUUUUGUCCUUGUCCAGAGCUUUGUCAAUCAAAUGUGACCAAGAAUUCACUGUAAUCGUUCUCUUUUUUUGUGUGUUUUGUUUUUUUAGGUAAGUAUUUUGAUAUCCUACUUUAUCAAUGCUGAAAGAAAAAAUGCACCUGCCUGAUGUAGAAUCAAUGGCUUAAAACAAAAUAGAGGCACCAGUGUGAAUGGUAAAAAUGGAUGCACUCCUGCUGCUGGUAAGAAUAUAAGGGGCAUUCAGAUGAGUUGGCUUUUCCCAAGGGAGCUGGCAGUCUGGGAAGACGGGGGGAUGGGUGGGGUGGAUUGUUGCUGCGCCAAGUACAAAGAAGAUGCUAAGGAAUGCUCAUGAAACGUUCAUUCACCUCUUCUAGAUAAACAGUCCUGUUCUAAGAUGGGUGUCGUGUCCAUUUCUCAGCUGGAAACUAUGCUCUCGAAUACUAUUUUUACACCUUUCCCAGAUAAAAACAAAUGUGGUCAUGUUCACGACACUCUUUUCUUCAGUCUUUGUCUUUAAAGGGGAACUAAGGUAGAGGAAAUAGAUUUACUAUUUCAUUUUCAUUUAUACAGCUCUGUUGAAACUUAAACACGUGUGGCAUGUGAUCAUGACUAUGGAGAUAAAAGCUCCAUCCAGAUGCUGGAUAAGUGAGAGGAAUGGCAGCACUCUCAAAAGACUCACUCCUCUGUUCUUUUUCCCUUUUUUAUACAUGGUAACUUCUGCAUCCAUGUUAAAUAUGAUGUGAAAUGCAAUUAUAAUGAUUCAGUGCUAUUUUGCUCUGACCCAUAGUCAUUUUUGUAGAUACGUAUUUCAAGAUUUUAAACAUCUAUGAUAAACACUGUGCUCAUGCUGGUACCAGAAUAGAACUUCUGAUACUAAUAUAUUAUGUUUAAUAUAAGUUAUAAAUGAUCCUACAUGAAUGAAAACUUUAUAUAUUAGAAAUAUGUUUAACAUUGAGGAUGAACAAGUUGCAAAGGCCAAAAUAUUUCUGAGACAAGGCCCAGUGGCUAAAUGGAGUUCUCUCCAGGUUACAUUGGCCUCAUCAAGUUUCCUGCCCUCUUAGGUGUCAUCCACCUUUCCAUUAUCCAGCUGUUGAUUCAAUUCAGACAGCUUCUGAUACAAAUCCUUCCGCAGGAGUCCCAACACAAACUGGCAUAUCCUUGUCCUAAGACAUUCUUCAGUAGAGGACAUGAAUUCUUUUGCUAUAGUUGCUAUAAUAAAUUACCAUGGACUGAUGAUGUAAAUUAGAACCAUUUACUUCCUUGCAGUCCUGAAGGUUAGAAGUCUAAGAGUGAAAUGUCUUCAAGGUUGGUUUCCAUGUAAGUUUCUCUCCUUGGAAAGCAGGUGACUGUAGUCUCCCUAGACCUCCGGGUGCCUGUGUUGGGAUUUCUCGUAAUAUAAAUAUGAAUUCUUCUAUGUUAGGUUCUAUGCUAAUGACCUCAUUCUAACUAAAUGACCUCUUUAACGCACUCAUUACUACAUAAUGCCAGGUGACAUGUGGCCAUGUUUCAGUUGAGGACUGAGUACGCACAGUGGUUAUUCCUAAAUAUAUAUCACCAGUUACUUUCUUAAUUUCGCUAGGUAUGAUAUAUGAACAAUCACCAAAUUUUCUAACAGUGCUUUUCUUAUAUCUUCAUCAGUAAAUAAAGCAUAGUAGAAUAAGUGUCUUCUGAGGUUCACAGGUAUAAGACUUUAGUGUGUAAAUUUGGGGGUGUGCAGUUUACUCUGUUAACAGUCCACACAUUAGGUUUCUUGCCUAAUUCUUUUCAAACCAUUCCAUGUGUAUCAUUCUACCUUCUGAAGCUAGAAUCAUGUCUAUCCAAAGUAAAGACUGAUCAUAUUUUGAGUUUUAUUAUUUCAUGGGCUCAUGCAAAGUACAGGGAGGGCUGAGGCACGUGAUAGUUAGCACGACGCACACAUCAUUUGAAGAUACUGAAACUGUUAGUGAAAGGGGAGACCAGAUGAGUGUCCUUUAAUCACUUAUUGAUGACAUCUGCUCCCUUAUUUUCACAAGG
rnacentral:lncRNA from 1 species